CGCGGGGGCAACCCUGGCGGCGAGCGGCGAACGGGUGAGUAAUACGUGACUAACCUACCUUCGAGUGGGGGAUAACCUCGGGAAACCGGGGCUAAUACCGCAUAAUGCCUUUGGGUUAAAGGAGCAAUUCGCUUGAAGAGGGGGUCGCGGCCGAUUAGGUAGUUGGCGGGGUAACGGCCCACCAAGCCAGUGAUCGGUAGCCGGCCUGAGAGGGCGCACGGCCACACUGGAACUGAGACACGGCCCAG
rnacentral:rRNA from 1 species